rnacentral:lncRNA from 1 species
AGUGUGGAUUUAGACCGGUGUCACAUCGUGUACCGCGCUGUGCAGACAUUUGCAUGCGGGUGAGAGCACCUGUGACAGCCUGAGCUUUCUGCUGAGGGAGCAGAAGCCUGUACAAGCCCUUCGAGGGACUCACCCCGUCACUGAAUCCUGCCUCUGAAUACUGAAGAGCAGCAUAGUGUUAUAUCCUUCAUAAACAGAGUUUGGAAGGGAUUUAAUCUACAGUAAUGAGCAGUAAAAAAAAAAAAAAAGAAGAAUAAAAGAAAAGAAAAGCACAUUAGUCUUCUUUUACGAGGACUGUAUCAAUACAAGAAAUUACUGUGUGGUGGAAACAGUCUAUUAAAUAGCUGUUCACUGUUUUUUCCCAGGAGCUGCUUGACAUUUUGCUGGAGGUGAGAUGAGGAGCUCCGAUUUGACCGUCUGGUAGUGUCUCUGUUACUUUUUUGCCUUGAUGCUCUCAUACCUUCAGGCAAAUUGGCUGAAUUUGGUGCUUCAUUUGCUUCACAAUAAUAAUGGUCCUGUCUCUGCACCAUUUCUCUGAAGCACACAAGAGAAAAGAUAUGGUGCACCUCUCCAGCCACAACAACCUCAGUCACAAGUUGCAAGGAGGAGACAGUGGCUGUGUUUGCUCAGAAAGGCUCCUUUCUGUAAAGCAAAGCAGAAGAGGAAUGUAUUUGCCCCAGAGAUGCCUCAGGGAGGCAUGACACAGUGAUACUGGUGUAGCAUGGAGAAGUGCAGAGCAUGGGGAAGAUCCGCAGGUCUCUGCCAGCACCUGGCUGAGCCAAGAGCAGAGAACAAGACCAAAUCCACCUGAAACAGCAAGUGUAGAGCCUAUUUCUCCUUUUUAUAUCAGUAUUACACUCACUUAAUUCCUUCAGAUGCUCUCAACUUCCCUGAUGCACCCCAAUGAGCGUGGAGGUAACAAGUGCUCUCUGAUAAUGCCAUCGGAAUUACAGCAGGGUCCAGCCCAGUGUGCUGGAUCCGAUCCCUCUCCUGCUGUAGCAUUUCACUAGCAAGUGUCAUUUAGAUGGUUUUGGGAAAGAAUCCAGGAUUUGUUUCACAGACAGUAUUUCCUCAACAGCUCAGUGAAUAUGGAAUAGUUUGAACUAACCAUGCAAAUCUUGCUUGUCGUCUUAUGUAGAGAAGUUAUAUCUAUUCUAAAGUCUGGGCCAGGACUUUCAACUGCUGAUGGGGGAUAGUUAUGCAGACUUCAAAGGAGCUGUAUCAGCUUUUACCAAGUGGGGAUCCAGACCUUUAUUCAUAUUUUAAAAUUCAGAAACUGUGCCUAGGUAAAGCAUUUUUCUCUAUAUUUUCAAGUAGCCAGUUUUUUAUUUUAUAGCUGUUCCCUCAGUGGCAGGAUUGUUUCUUAGUAGUCAAUGUUUAAAGGCCCUUCAAGGCUGAAGGAAUUAAAAAUGAAUAAUUUAAAGCUGGUCUAUGAUGCAUAAUUUUUAACAUAUGUUUUACAGGCCAUGUGGAACAGUUUUUGACUUGUCAGUAGAUAUUUUACAAACAUGCUGUGCUGGAACCAAAACCUUUUUUAUUUAAGAGUCAGAUUUGAGCCCUCCUAUGCUUCAAUACAGCGGUGUGCUGGAGUCUACAAGCCAUAACAAGGAAACCAUUAUCACCAGCACUGAUCAGAAAAAAGGAGAAAUGAGGCAAUUGCAGCACUUUUUUCCUCUUAAACACACUGCUAAAACAGAUGUG